GACGAACGCUGGCGGCGUGCUUAACACAUGCAAGUCGAACGGAAAGGCCCUGCUUUUGUGGGGUGCUCGAGUGGCGAACGGGUGAGUAACACGUGAGUAACCUGCCCUUGACUUUGGGAUAACUUCAGGAAACUGGGGCUAAUACCGGAUAGGAGCUCCUGCUGCAUGGUGGGGGUUGGAAAGUUUCGGCGGUUGGGGAUGGACUCGCGGCUUAUCAGCUUGUUGGUGGGGUAGUGGCUUACCAAGGCUUUGACGGGUAGCCGGCCUGAGAGGGUGACCGGCCACAUUGGGACUGAGAUACGGCCCAGACUCCUACGGGAGGCAGCAGUGGGGAAUAUUGCACAAUGGGAGGAAGCCUGAUGCAGCAACGCCGCGUGCGGGAUGACGGCCUUCGGGUUGUAAACCGCUUUCGCCUGUGACGAAGCGUGAGUGACGGUAAUGGGUAAAGAAGCACCGGCUAACUACGUG
rnacentral:rRNA from 1 species